UACCUGGUUGAUCCUGCCAGUAAAAUAUGCUUGUCUCAAAGAUUAAGCCAUGCAGGUCUAAGUGCACACGGACGGUACAGUGAAACUGCGAAUGGCUCAUUAAAUCAGUUGUGGUUCCUUUGAUCGCUCCACCCCGGUUACUUGGAUAACUGUGGCAAUUCUAGAGCUAAUACAUGCAAACAAGCGCUGACCCCUCGCGUGGGAUGCGUGCAUUUAUCAGACCCAAAACCCAUCCGGGGGGCUCCCCGUGGGCUCCCCGGUCCUUUGGUGACUCUAGAUAACCUCGGGCCGAUCGCGCGCCCAUCGUGGCGGCGACGACUCAUUCGAAUGUCUGCCCUAUCAACUUUCGAUGGUACUUUAUGUGCCUACCAUGGUGACCACGGGUAACGGGGAAUCAGGGUUCGAUUCCGGAGAGGGAGCCUGAGAAACGGCUACCACAUCCAAGGAAGGCAGCAGGCGCGCAAAUUACCCACUCCCGACUCGGGGAGGUAGUGACGAAAAAUACCAAUGCAGGGCUCCGCUGAGUUUUUCUGCAAUUGGAAUGGGCGCAUCCUAAACCCAUGGGCGAGGAGCCAUUGGAGGGCAAGACUGGUGCCAGCAGCCGCGGUAAUUCCAGCUCCAAUAGCGUAUCUUAAAGUUGCUGCAGUUAAAAAGCUCGUAGUUGGACCUGGGGCAGUGGACCGGCAGGGCCCCGCCGUGAGGCCGCGCCGGCUGGUCCCACGCCCUUGCCUCGGGUGCCCCCCACGGAUGUCCUUAGCUGGUGGGGGGAGGCCGGAGCCUUUACCUGGAGAAAACUAGAGUGUUCAAAGCAGGUUUGCCUCGCCCGAAUACUGCAGCUGGGAAUAACGGAAUAGGACCCCGGUUCUAUUUUGUGGGUUUCCGGAACCAGGGCCAUGAUUAAGAGGGACGGCCGGGGGCAUCCGUACUGUGCCGCUAGAGGUGAAAUUCUUGGACCGGCGCAAGACGAACGAAAGCGAAAGCAUUUGCCAAGAACGUUUUCAUUAAUCAAGAACGAAAGUCGGAGGUUCGAAGACGAUCAGAUACCGUCGUAGUUCCGACCGUAAACGAUGCCGACCCGCGAUCCGGCGGCGUCCCUUCCCGACUUGACCCGCCGGGCAGCGUGCAGGGAAACCAAUGAGUCUUUGGGUUCCGGGGGGAGUAUGGUUGCAAAGCUGAAACUUAAAGGAAUUGACGGAAGGGCACCACCAGGAGUGAGGCCUGCGGCUUAAUUCGACUCAACACGGGAAACCUCACCCGGCCCGGACACGGAAAGGAUUGACAGAUUGAUGGCUCUUUCUCGAUUCUGUGGGUGGUGGUGCAUGGCCGUUCUUAGUUGGUGGAGCGAUUUGUCUGGUUAAUUCCGAUAACGAACGAGACCCCGGCCUGCUAAAUAGUUACGCGGCCCCGCGUGGUCGGCGUCAACUUCUUAGAGGGACAAGUGGCGUAUAGCCACGCGAGAUGGAGCAAUAACAGGUCUGUGAUGCCCUUAGAUGUCCGGGGCUGCACGCGUGCCACAAUGGACGGGCCAGCGGGUGUGGCCUCUGCGCCGAGAUGCGCGGGCAAUCCUCUGAAACCCGUUCGUAGCUUGGGAUCGGGGGUUGGAACCUCCCCCGUGAACGAGGAAUUCCCAGUAAGCGCGAGUCAUAACCUCGCGUUGACUAAGUCCCUGCCCUUUGUACACACCGCCCGUCGCUACUACCAAUUGGAUGGUUUAGUGAGGUCCUUGGAUCGGCCUCCUCCGGGCCUCCUCGUGGAACCCCGCUCGAGCUGCCGAGAAGACGAACGAACUUGACCAUCUAGAGGAAGUAAAAGUCGUAACAAGGUUUCCGUAGGUGAACCUGCGGAAGGAUCAUUA